rnacentral:rRNA from 1 species
AACGAACGCUGGCGGCAGGCUUAACACAUGCAAGUCGAACGGGCGUAGCAAUACGUCAGUGGCAGACGGGUGAGUAACGCGUGGGAACGUACCUUUUGGUUCGGAACAACCCAGGGAAACUUGGGCUAAUACCGGAUAAGCCCUUACGGGGAAAGAUUUAUCGCCGAAAGAUCGGCCCGCGUCUGAUUAGCUAGUUGGUGUGGUAACGGCGCACCAAGGCGACGAUCAGUAGCUGGUCUGAGAGGAUGAUCAGCCACAUUGGGACUGAGACACGGCCCAAACUCCUACGGGAGGCAGCAGUGGGGAAUAUUGCACAAUGGGCGAAAGCCUGAUGCAGCGACGCCGCGUGAGGGAUGACGGCCUCGGUUG